AAUUGUUUUUGAAUGCAUGUCUACUUUAAAGUGUUAAUAGCUUGCAUAUGUAUUCAAAUGUUCAUACUUGUUCUUAGCUAGGACAAAUUUUUUCCUUCAAGUGGUAUCAGAGCCUAGGCCUAGUUUAUGGUGAAUCCUUUUGGGUUUUGUGAUUUUCAUAAUAUGUGAUUUAAAUGUUGUAAAUGUUACAAGCUUUGUUCUUGCUUUUGAAUAUAUAAAUUUUGCUAGAAAAUUUAGCAUCUCAAAUGUUGUAGAUGUAUUUCAUUCAAGCAUGAAUAUUGGAACUAAAAUUUGGUGCCAUGUAUUUUGGGAAAUUCGGCCAAAUCCUUAGGGUGAUUUUUU
rnacentral:lncRNA from 1 species